UGCUGAUAAGUGGGGAAACUUUGCUUUUCCCCCAGGAAAACACACUAUCCUGAGGCACAAGUGCUGAUGGAUUACGGCCAGGUCCCGACAGUACACACACCUGUAGCCUCCACUCUGCUCCUACCUGGCACAGCCAGACGUGUCUCCCGCAGUCUCCCGCAGGAUAGCGUCACAUGCAUGCUCAUUCGGCCUCCACAGCUGUUCGCUGUGUGUUGGAGAAAGCCCACAGCUCUGCAUCUUACAGUUCAAGGCUCCGAUCAAACUUCCCAUCUUUAUUCUGAGCAUCAAAGUGAUUACUGGAUCAGCUUCCCUCAACACAAGGUACACGCGGAUACAAAGUGAGCUUAUUGCAAAUGGAACAGCCGAUACUGCAAAGAUGCAACAUGUGCGAGGAGAUAAACAAGGAUGCAGCAGAAACUAGUGGAGUUCUCAAAACAGACAUCCAAGUGUGAACUCCCC
rnacentral:lncRNA from 1 species